GGAGAUCUUCGGAUUCUAUAAACAACAUCAUUUAUCCGGUUAACCACUAAGAAUAGGGCCUUUCUCUAAAUCUGACGGAAGUCGAAGAUUUCUUCCAGUAAGUAUGAUGGCUGGCGUCUGCUUCGUCGUCUCGUGAAUCGCAGAUCUGUAAGAUAAGAGGAAGAAAGGGAUCCAGGAGUCCCAGUCUCUCUGAUUCUGCUCUACGAAGGACGACAAAUACUGUAGCAAGAAUGGGUUAUCGGGAGAGGUCCGAGAAUGUCCAUCGCUAUCCUUUCAAAUGGAGCUUCCACGUUGUAAAUUUGAAGAGAGCUUUGUCCCUUCGCUCGAGGUCCUUUCUUUGCCGUGCAGAUUCGACAUCUUCGACACCAAU